rnacentral:rRNA from 1 species
AUACGGAGGGGGCUAGCGUUGUUCGGAAUUACUGGGCGUAAAGCGCGCGUAGGCGGAUUAGUCAGUUGGGGGUGAAAGCCCGGAGCUCAACUCCGGAAUUGCCUUCAAUACUGCUAGUCUUGAGUUCGAGAGAGGGUGGUGGAAUUCCUAGUGUAGAGGUGAAAUUCGUAGAUAUUAGGAAGAACACCAGUGGCGAAGGCGGCCACCUGGCUCGAUACUGACGCUGAGGUGCGAAAGCGUGGGGAGCAAACAGGAUUAGAAACCCUAGUAGUCC